CCAAUAGCGUAUAUUAAAGUUGUUGCAGUUAAAAAGCUCGUAGUUGAAUUUCGGGAUUGGCGCAUCGGUCGUGCCUCACGGGGUAUGAACUGGUGCAGUCAAUUUCUCACCUUCUGGAGAACCGCGAUGUCCUUAAUUGGAUGCCGCGGGGAACCAGGACCUUUACUUUGAAAAAAUUAGAGUGUUUAAAGCAGGCAUUUUUGCUUGAAUACAUUAGCAUGGAAUAAUAAAAUAGGACGGCAUGGUUCUAUUUUGUUGGUUUCUAGGACCACCGUAAUGAUUAAUAGGGAUAGUUGGGGGCAUUAGUAUUCAAUUGUCAGAGGUGAAAUUCUUGGAUUUAUUGAAGACUAACUAUUGCGAAAGCAUUUGCCAAGGAUGUUUUCAUUAAUCAAGAACGAAAGUUAGGGGAUCGAAGACGAUCAGAUACCGUCGUAGUCUUAACCAUAAACUAUGCCGACUAGGAAUCAGACGAUGUUAAUUUUUUAAUGACUCGUUUGGCACCUUACG
rnacentral:rRNA from 1 species